AAUCCUUUAACAAGGACCUAUUGGAGGGCAAGUCUGGUGCCAGCAGCCGCGGUAACUCCAGCUCCAAUAGCGUAUAUUAAAGUUGUUGCGGUUAAAACGUUCGUAGUUGAACUUGUGCUUCAUACGGGUAGUAUAACUAUAAUUGUAGUCUGUACUAUACCUUAUGUAUGUAAGCGUAUUACCGGUGGAGUUCUUAUAUAUAUUAAAUACUUGUAUUUAUAUGUAUUCCUCCUAUUUAAACCUGCUUCAGUGCUCUUCAUUGCGUGCUGUUGUAGGCCGGUACAAUUACUUUGAACAAAUCAGUGCUUAAAGCAGGCUCCAAAUGCCUGAAUAUUUUGUGCAUGGAAUAAUGAAAUAAGACCUCUGUUCUACUUUCAUUGGUUUUUAGAUCAAGAGGUAAUGAUUAAUAGAAGCAGUUUGGGGGCAUUAGUAUUACGACGCGAGAGUCGAAAUUCUUGGACCGUCGUAAGACUAACUUAAGCGAAAGCAUUUGCCAAAGAUGUUUUCAUUAAUCAAGAACGAAAGUUAGAGGUUCGAAGGCGAUCAGAUACCGCCCUAGUUCUAACCAUAAACGAUGCCAGCUAGCAAUUGGGUGUAGCUACUAUUAUGGCUCUCUCAGUCGCUUCCCGGGAAACCAAAGCUUUUGGGCUCCGGGGGAAGUAUGGUUGCAAAGCUGAAACUUAAAGGAAUUGACGGAAGGGCACCACCAGGAGUGGAGCCUGCGGCUUAAUUUGACCCAACACGGGAAAACUUACCAGGUCCGAACAUAAGCGUGUAAGACAGAUUGAUAGCUCUUUCUCGAAUCUAUGGGUGGUGGUGCAUGGCCGUUCUUAGUUCGUGGAGUGAUUUGUCUGGUUAAUUCCGAUAACGAACGAGACUCAAAUAUAUUAAGUAGAUGCUUUCAGGAUUAUGGUGUUUGAAGCUUUUAUAGCCUUCAUUCAUGAAUGCAGUAACAUGUGUGAGUGUUUGAAUGUGUUUAUAAAGGUGGAGCCGUACCUGUUGGUUUGUCCCAUUAUAAGGACACUAGCUUCUUAAAUGGACAAAUUGCGUCUAGCAAUAAUGAGAUUGAGCAAUAACAGGUCUGUGAUGCCCUUAGAUGUCCUGGGCUGCACGCGCGCUACAAUGAAAGUAUCAACGUGUAUUUCCUAGACCGAGAGGUCCGGGUAAACCGCUGAACCACUUUCAUGCUUGGGAUUGUGAACUGAAACUGUUCACAUGAACUUGGAAUUCCCAGUAAGUGUGAGUCAUUAACUCGCAUUGAUUACGUCCCUGCCCUUUGUACACACCGCCCGUCGCUACUACCGAUUGAAUUAUUUAGUGAGGUCUCCGGACGUGAUCACUGUAACGCCUUGCGUGUUACGGAUGUUUCGCAAAAGUUGACCGAACUUGAUUAUUUAGAGGAAGUAAAAGUC
rnacentral:rRNA from 1 species